ensembl:lncRNA
UGCUUUUGUAGGCCCUAAAAAUGGGGUCCGCGGCUCAUCGCGUCAAGCUCGGAUCCCACUAAACCGAGGGCUGCCAUGGAUGCACGGAGCGGGGAGGCCAGGAUACGCAUCACACAGACGGAGGUGACACUCAAACACACCGCUGUGUAACAGAAGGGCGACACCUCGGGUUUUGCAAAAAAGCACCUCCGAGCCUUCGGGUUGGCAGCGAGUGUCAGAACGUUCUGUUUUGAAAAAUUCUGGCAGUGGCAGAAGAACAGACAAAUUCUAAUGGAAGCUCGACGUCUACAGAUAGGCUCUCCAUGGAUGGGAUUCUAAAGAUCUAUCUUUAGGGGGAGUUCCCCGAAGUCUCCGCAAGGAACAGAGCUGCGGAUUUCAAACGCGGUCCACUUCGAUUCGCGCAGUGCCUGCAUACCUGCUUCAAUAGAAGGGAGCGAUACUCACCCGAGUGUGCGGACAGCCCAGAGGUCCCUGCAGCACCCGUGUCCUCAGUGGAAUGCCAUCUUGCAUCCGCGGAAGCUCCCAGCCUCCACUCGAUGUUAACAUUUACGCUAUCUCAAAUACCAGGCUCUCCCAUAGACAUUUUUUCCAGGGUUUUCAAGCAAAUUUCUCGGUGCCAUAACAUUAUGAUGGAAGGAUGCUGAAAUGACAGGCCUCGUAGACGCUUGUCUUAAUCAUCGGCUUCUUAAUUUAGUUUUAGUGCUAUGGUUUUGUGUGUGCGCGUGUGUGUCUGCGCGUGUGUGCGCGCAAGAGAAGGCUCUGACAACCUGCAGCUUCCUAAUGACUGACGAGGCAGGGCUGCUGCCGCAAAGUAACACUUCCCUGGUGUGAAGACCUCUCACUGGGAAGUUUAGUUCACUACUGUUCUCGCAAUGCUAAUCGUAUAACCUGUAACCAAAACCCAGGCAAGAAGGAUACAGCAUGCUAAAUAGAGUAACUUCUAAUCACUAAACGUUAGCACUACGACCAGCUGUUAGGGAUUAACUGAAAGUCGGUUAGAGACAGACACCUAAACUUAAAUAUACAAACGCGGAUGUAAGGGUGGACCGCUGAAUACGUCUUCCUCUCUCUCUUAGCUUCCAUUCAUUCCUCCACCUCCAGUCCCAUUCACCCCUCUUCAAUCUGUAUGACCACCUCUCGCCUUUGUUAGCGCUGCGUUCCGGCCCCGCUCGCCCUGCCCGAGCAGCGGGAUAUCGCUGUCUGCUGAGCUGCUCUUACCUUAAUUGCCCAGGUAACCUGGAAUAAAUAAGACAAGCUUAGAAUCCGGGGGAUAGAGUUAUAAAUGCGUACGUCCAGGCAUUUACUGUACCCAACGCGAUGUUAGAGGUUGUUAAUCUAAGGUGUCCCGACUCUUUUCGUGGACACAUGAUGCCAUCGAAGCGUGGUUAUUAAAUACUCUUUCUUCAUGGCUGAAAAAACCCUCAUUCAUUCCUUAAGCUGUCAGGACAUUUUAGCAGCUUAACCCCUUGGAAGAGCCUGGGAGUGCAGAGCCGCUGUAUUCGUGUGAAGGGGGACUGGAGGCUGGAGCCGCGGGGGGUGUGGGGGCCACAGCAUAUCUGCAUCCAUCGAGCUGACAGUGGUACUCUUUUCCUUCGGCCUUUAAUUAAAAAAAAAAAAAAAAAAAAAGAAAGAAAGAAAAAAAAGAAAAAAAAAAGAAAAACAUACAGGGGGAAAUCUGCGGUGAAUCAUUACCAGUAAGAGUAGUAUCCAGAAUCUGUAUUCAAACCGCACGGCAGCCCUUUGGAUGGCACUUGAGCUGGGGGUCCCCACCCUCACCCCGGAGCAGGACUCCCUCGGCCCCACAGCGCCACACGGGUCCCUGAGAGUGGGGAACACAGAGCUACCCCUCCUAGCACUGGCUGUGCCCCACCGGGCUGGGGCCGUGCACUCCCUUCUCCGCUCAGGCUGUUUCACCAGGCACUCCACCAACAUUUUCAUGCUAGAAAGUGCUAAAUUUUUGGACCCUCUCACAGGAAUUCGAGUGCAGACGGAGCUGAGAGGGUCAAAGCAGCCACUUAUUCAGAGCCACCAUAUACAAAGCUACCACUGAAGUGGACGGAAGCUGCGGCCAGGUCAGAGCUAACAGAAUUGGCAUUAGAGCAGGACUUCGAGUGCCCAAAGUCAAUAGUCCCACUUUUAUACAUGGGGAAUUUCCAGAGCGGUUUUUAAGGAAAAAAAAAAAAAAGAAAAAAGAAAAGAAAAGAAAAAAAACAGACUCGAAAAUUAAAGUCCACUAGAAAUAAUUGACGUGCUUUUCCUACAUAUCCUUUUCUGUCCUAUAAACAAGGAAUUAAUCUCACGGGCUUGGAACAAUACGCACUACAUAUUGAACGCAACAUUUCCUUUUUUGGUAGAACUGUAUAUCCGUGGCGCUAAAAAAAAUACAUCAUAUAAAUCCUAAAUUUGUGCACAGUACUUUAUUCUGCUGCCGUGAUAAAUGACCGAAUAUUAAGCCCAGAUCAUCAAACGCUGUGAAAACACAUCGCUGUCUGUAUUGGACCUUUGCUCAGAAAUGCAAAAGGACGAAGGUUUUCUUUCCUUCUCUGCUACAUUCUCAUCCCUGAACGCAGAGCUAAGCAGACUCAGCUUUGACCUAAGGAACACCUCAGAGCAUUAAAAUUUCAGCAGGCGAUGUCAGCGUUACAUUAAACGAGAGCUCCUCCGGUUCGCUGCAGAGCUGGGAUUUGAAUAAAACGCUCAAUGUUAACAAACAAUACACACGUUUGGCACUUUGUGUAUUAAAUGGAUCAAAGGGAUUUGAUAAGGCACAAUACCCCGUUUGUACAGACCUGAUUGAGUUAAUAUAAUAUCAGCAAAUUUUACAGCGAAAUGAAUCCGUUUCUUUUCUUUGUGUUUAAAACCAGCGCAGAUUACAAAUUUUAAUGAUCUGAAAAUGUUUGGUAUACAAAAUCAUGCUUAUUUCAGUAUUAGCAAAAACACAAGAAAUUUUUCAACACAAACACCCAGCUGUGUCUAUUUUAAAAGCAGUUCAAUGACAGCUUGCACUUAUGAGCAUGCAAUCAGCUAAUUUCGCUUUUUUUUUUUCUUCUGUGUUAAUCAACACUUUCCUUCCUGCAUAUCAGAGUACAAAUAGUAUAGUUACUCCACAGCAGUAAAUGUUUACGUAACCUGUCCUUUCUCAAGAAUCCGGUUACACCGAAUCAUUACAUGCUAGACCGAGUAGGAAAACGCACAGGGCCCAACCGCCCCGAUGGGAUCUUGCUGCACCGCAUUGACAUAUAUUGGUUAAUGCCCAUCAGAACCAUAAUAAUAUGCACAGAGCUUACCUUUCCUCUUACCCCAGCACCGCAGAGCUCAGUCACAUCCUCCACACUGCGCUCUUCCUCAGGAGUUCCCAUAUAUUGGCUUCAGGGUUGUGCAAGGAAAUAAUUACAAAUUAUGAUAUUAAAAACCAAAAACAAACAAACAAAAAAAACCCAGAAAUUCUACAAAAUAAAAUAAAAAAAAAACGAAGGUAGUUGAUCAUUGACUUCUACUUCUUUUUGGUCAGUAGCAACCUGUUACGGAAUUGGAUAAAUAAAUACAAUUGUGGUGAGGUCAAGCGAGGUUAAUCCAAUGCACAUAGUUCGUGCCAUGCCCAACUGCAAUUGUUUAUUGCCCAUCCACGGCAAUUGUUGUGGGGAUUUACUCUCUCUUUCUCACAGCCUCUCUCUCGCACACACGCACAUACCCACAAACGCAUACAGAAAAGGCACAGAGCCGUGGUGGUUGCACUGGAAUAUGCACUGGGUUUCCCGGGACACACAGCUGGGGCAGGGCUGCGGGUGUUAUUUCAACGGAACCAUUUCUCCAGCGGGACAAACGUAAACUUUGGCUGGUUGAAAGCAGCGACGGGCACCGGCUGUACGUUGUGUUGCACAGCGCUCAGUUUAAACGCGAGCGGUACUCUAUCACUCACAUUUCCCUUUCUCCUUUCAGCACGAGGAAGCCGCGGGGCUCAUUUCGCUUUGUUUCGCGGCCGAUUCUCAUUUCUGCCCGUACUCACAGCGGUAACGCCGUGAUGCGGUCGAGCAGCGCCGAGCCCAGGCGGCGCGCAGCCCGCUUCGUGAGCCCCUGAACCAACGCUACCGCCGGAACGGAGCCCCCGUUCCCCUUCCCGCGGCUCACACUGAGCCCCGCCGGGGCCGUCGGAGGCGCUGCGAGGGGCGCUGCGCCGGAGCCCGCGGGGCUCCGGGUGGUACGGGGCCUCUUAAUUCGUUCGGCGGCGCUGCUGCUCCGCAGGCCUCGGCCAGAGGCCUCUACCCGCCCGGCGCUGUCCGGCGCUGUCGCCGCCGCAUCGGGCCCGAGCCCUUCCAUCGCACAGCCCCGGCCCAGCCCCAGCUGCAGCGCCCGCCCCGCCGUCCCGACCCCUCCGGCUGAGUUUCGUUACUCCCCGUUGGUUAAAUAAAUAACAACAGCGCGGCGGGGCCCGGGAACACACUGCCGACGGGCGCCGUCGGGAUCCGCCAAGUAGUACCUCCGCUCCGGCACCGCGCGGAUUGCGCGCCCCCCCCCGCCCCCGGCUCCCGUCCGCCUCCUGCCCCGGUGGCACGGACGGACGGGGCAACUUUGCUCCACCGGAGGAGUUACCGAGCGGAACCCCGGAACCAAGCGCCGUUGGUUGGGCACGAGGGGAUUAGUGCCGUUGCGCGGAGGGGGACGGCCGGUGAUGCGCCCCGCACCGG